AUUGAACGCUGGCGGCAGGCCUAACACAUGCAAGUCGAACGGUAACAGAAAGCAGCUUGCUGCUUUGCUGACGAGUGGCGGACGGGUGAGUAAUGUCUGGGAAACUGCCUGAUGGAGGGGGAUAACUACUGGAAACGGUAGCUAAUACCGCAUAACGUCGCAAGACCAAAGAGGGGGACCUUCGGGCCUCUUGCCAUCGGAUGUGCCCAGAUGGGAUUAGCUAGUAGGUGGGGUAAAGGCUCACCUUGGCGACGAUCCCUAGCUGGUCUGAGAGGAUGACCAGCCACACUGGAACUGAGACACGGUCCAGACUCCUACGGGAGGCAGCAGUGGGGAAUAUUGCACAAUGGGCGCAAGCCUGAUGCAGCCAUGCCGCGUGUAUGAAGAAGGCCUUCGGGUUGUAAAGUACUUUCAGCGGGGAGGAAGGGAGUAAAGUUAAUACCUUUGCUCAUUGACGUUACCCGCAGAAGAAGCACCGGCUAACUCCGUG
rnacentral:rRNA from 1 species